rnacentral:rRNA from 1 species
AGGAUGGGCGAGCUGAUGCAGCGACGCCGCGUGAGGGAUGACGGCCUUCGGGUUGUAAACCUCUUUCAGUAGGGAAGAAGCGAAAGUGACGGUACCUGCAGAAGAAGCGCCGGCUAACUACGUGCCAGCAGCCGCGGUAAUACGUAGGGCGCAAGCGUUAUCCGGAAUUAUUGGGCGUAAAGAGCUCGUAGGCGGUUUGUCGCGUCUGCUGUGAAAGACCGGGGCUCAACUCCGGUUCUGCAGUGGGUACGGGCAGACUAGAGUGCAGUAGGGGAGACUGGAAUUCCUGGUGUAGCGGUGAAAUGCGCAGAUAUCAGGAGGAACACCGAUGGCGAAGGCAGGUCUCUGGGCUGUAACUGACGCUGAGGAGCGAAAGCAUGGGGAGCGAACAGGAUUAGAUACCCUGGUAGUCCAUGCCGUAAACGUUGGGCACUAGGUGUGGGGGACAUUCCACGUUUUCCGCGCCGUAGCUAACGCAUUAAGUGCCCCGCCUGGGGAGUACGGCCGCAAGGCUAAAACUCAAAGGAAUUGACGGG